rnacentral:rRNA from 1 species
GGGUGGGUGUUCUAGUGGCGAACGGGUGAGUAACACGUGGGCAACCUGCCCCCGGCUCUGGGAUAACUCCAAGAAAUUGGGGCUAAUACCGGAUAUGUCCGCCGACCGCAUGGUCUGGUGGUGGAAAGGGUUUCCGGCUGGGGAUGGGCCCGCGGCCUAUCAGCUUGUUGGUGGGGUAGUGGCCCACCAAGGCGACGACGGGUAGCCGGCCUGAGAGGGUGACCGGCCACACUGGGACUGAGACACGGCCCAGACUCCUACGGGAGGCAGCAGUGGGGAAUAUUGCGCAAUGGGCGAAAGCCUGACGCAGCGACGCCGCGUGGGGGAUGACGGCCUUCGGGUUGUAAACCUCUUUCAGCAGGGACGAAGCGCAAGUGACGGUACCUGCAGAAGAAGCACCGGCCAACUACGUGCCAGCAGCCCGCGGUAAUACGUAGGGUGCAAGCGUUGUCCGGAAUUAUUGGGCGUAAAGAGCUCGUAGGCGGUUCGUCGCGUCGGCUGUGAAAUCCCGAGGCUCAACCUCGGGUCUUGCAGUCGAUACGGGCGUACUG